UACGAAGGGGGCUAGCGUUGCUCGGAAUCACUGGGCGUAAAGCGCACGUAGGCGGCUUUUAAGUCAGGGGUGAAAUCCUGGAGCUUAACUCCAGAACUGCCUUUGAUACUGGGAAGCUAGAGUCCGGAAGAGGUGAGUGGAACUGCGAGUGUAGAGGUGAAAUUCGUAGAUAUUCGCAAGAACACCAGUGGCGAAGGCGGCUCACUGGUCCGGUACUGACGCUGAGGUGCGAAAGCGUGGGAGCAACAGG
rnacentral:rRNA from 1 species